rnacentral:antisense_RNA from 1 species
UCAGUCGCCACCGCUGGCACGCACUGUACAGGGGCAUCAGCUGCUCGUAGGACAUGUCCAGCAGCUGGUCCAGGUCCACGCCACG